AUUGAACGCUGGCGGCAGGCCUAACACAUGCAAGUCGAGCGGAUGAAGGGAGCUUGCUCCUGGAUUCAGCGGCGGACGGGUGAGUAAUGCCUAGGAAUCUGCCUGGUAGUGGGGGAUAACGUCCGGAAACGGGCGCUAAUACCGCAUACGUCCUGAGGGAGAAAGUGGGGGAUCUUCGGACCUCACGCUAUCAGAUGAGCCUAGGUCGGAUUAGCUAGUUGGUGGGGUAAAGGCCUACCAAGGCGACGAUCCGUAACUGGUCUGAGAGGAUGAUCAGUCACCCUGGAACGGAGACACGGUCCAGACUCCUACGGUAGGCGGCAGUGGGGAAUAUUAGACAGAGGGCGAAAGCCUGAUCCAGCCAUGCCGCGUGUGUGAAGAAGGUCUUCGGAUUGUAAAGCACUUUAAGUUGGGAGGAAGGGCAGUAAGUUAAUACCUUGCUGUUUUGACGGUACCAACAGAAUAAGCACCGGCUAACUUCGUG
rnacentral:rRNA from 1 species